rnacentral:rRNA from 1 species
GUAGGUGGCAAGCGUUGUCCGGAAUUAUUGGGCGUAAAGCGCGCGCAGGCGGUUCUUUAAGUCUGAUGUGAAAGCCCACGGCUCAACCGUGGAGGGUCAUUGGAAACUGGAGAACUUGAGUACAGAAGAGGAAAGCGGAAUUCCACGUGUAGCGGUGAAAUGCGUAGAGAUGUGGAGGAACACCAGUGGCGAAGGCGGCUUUCUGGUCUGUAACUGACGCUGAGGCGCGAAAGCGUGGGGAGCAAACAGGAUUAGAUACCCUGGUAGUCCACGCCGUAAAUGAUGAGUGCUAAGUGUUAGGGGGUUUCCGCCCCUUAGUGCUGCAGCUAACGCAUUAAGCACUCCGCCUGGGAGUACGGCCGCAAGGCUG